rnacentral:rRNA from 1 species
CCUACGGUGUGCAGCAGUGAGGAAUAUUGGUCAAUGGCCGUAAGGCUGAACCAGCCAAGUCGCGUGAAGGAAGAAGGAUCUAUGGGUUGUAAAAUUCUUUUAUAGGGGAAUAAAGGUAUCCACGAAUGGAUAUUUGCAUGUCCCCUAUGAAUAAGCAUCGGCUAACUCCGUACCAGCAGCCGGCGUAAUACGGAGGAUGCGAGCGUUAUCCGGAUUUAUUGGGUUUAAAGGGUGCGCAGGCGGAAGAUCAAGUCAGCGGUAAAAUUGCGCGGCCAAACCGCUGCGAGCCGUUGAAACUGGUUGUCUUGAGUGAGUGAGAGGUAUGCGGAAUGCGUGGUGUAGCGGUGAAAUGCAUAGAUAUCACGAAGAACUCCGAUUGCGAAGGCAGCAUACCGGCGCUCAACUGACGCUCAUGCACGAAAGCGUGGGUAUCGAACAGGAUUAGAUACCCGGGUAGUC